AUUGAACGCUGGCGGCAGGCCUAACACAUGCAAGUCGAACGAGUGGCGGACGGGUGAGUAAUGUCUGGGAAACUGCCUAAUGGAGGGGGAUAACUACUGGAAAGGGUAGCUAAUACCGCAUACCAUCAGAUCUGCCCAUAUGGGAUUAGCUAGUUGGUGGGGUAACGGCUCACCAAGGCGACGAUCCCUAGCUGGUCUGAGAGGAGGACCAGCCACACUGGAACUGAGACACGGCCCAGACUCCUACGGGAGGCAGCAGUGGGGAAUAUUGCACAAUGGGCGCAAGCCUGAUGCAGCCAUGCCGCGUGUAUGAUGAAGGCCUUCGGGUUGUAAAGUACUUUCAGCGGGGAGGCGUUACCCGCAGAAGAAGCACCGGCUAACUCCGUGCCAGCAGCCGCGGUAAUUC
rnacentral:rRNA from 1 species